rnacentral:rRNA from 1 species
UACGUAGGCAGCGAGCGUUGUUCGGAGUUACUGGGCGUAAAGGGUGUGUAGGCGGUUGGUUAAGUUUGGUGUGAAAUCUCCCGGCUCAACCGGGAGGGUGCGCCGAAUACUGAAUGACUAGAGUGCGGGAGAGGAAAGUGGAAUUCCUGGCGUAGCGGUGAAAUGCGUAGAUAUCAGGAGGAACACCGGUGGUGUAGACGGCUUUCUGGACCGUAACUGACGCUGAGACACGAAAGCGUGGGUAGCAAACAGG